GGGAACGCCGGCACUGCUGCGGGCACUGCGCCUGCGCCGGCCGAGCGCUCUUGUGGUCUGUGGGUGAGGGUUGCGGCUUCGCGGUGGUGGGGAAAGGCUGCUAAGUGUGAUCUGCAGCGGUUAGGACUUAGCUUAACUUGAAACAGGCAGAUUGAACAAGGACCCGAAGGGAAUUCUAUCGAAAUCUCGUACUUCUCGCUUAAUUCGGAGUCCUCAAUCUUUCUAGCGCCUCUGUACCAAAUGUUGUGAAUGUUUUUGUCGUCGUUUUUCCUCACGGUAUUAAUACAGGCUUACCAGAUUACCCGUGAGAACUCACCCGGGCUCCAAUUACAGAAACGUAGGUGAGGCUUUGUAAAUGAUGUAAUGGUUCAGAAGGUGCGGUGCUGUGUCACGCAGUCGUCCCGUUCGCGGUGAGCCAUCUGUAGAUCACCUUGGGCUUGCAAUAGAAACCGGGGCAUUCUAACGUCCAACAGAGGAGCUGCGGUUCUACACAAACAAAACCCGUGUUCCGAAAAAUCGUGGUGCUCUGAGUAGCCUGAUGGGCAGAAAUCCCACAAAGCAAAAGUCAGUGCUUUGUUAAAUGAUGUGUGUGGUAUGUACUUCAAGGCACUCAAGCCCUUCUUCAGAAUUCCGAGCGUGAGCACCCAAAAGGUUUCCCAGUUCUUCCAGCAAUAUCAGUUUGAUAACAUCUACCAGCAAACCACGUUCUGCUCUGCUGGUGUUGGCAUAGGUUUGUCAGGAGAAAGAGUGAGCCUUGGUUUCUGGAAGAACUCUCAGCUGACACACCACUCUGGGUCUGUGCUCUGCUCUGCUCUGCUCUGGGAAAAUUAUGUACUCAGAGGUAUGACAACUGUGCAUGGCUGUCCAGAGUGUGGCUUAUCUGUCAUGUUACUGUCACUACUGCUGGUCUCCAUAAAGGUUCAGCAAGCAUCGAUGGAUGUCAGUGGGUGCAAGCUUUAAGCUGAGAUUGCUUUCAAUCAAGAUGCUGGAAGACUACCACUGAAUAGGCAUUUCAGCAGGUAAACCUGACGUUUACUUUCCUUAAGAACUCUUUAUUUUUUACUAAGUUCAGGAGGAAAAAAACAACUUUCAUACAGAACUAUCAUGUACACCUGUUACAUGACAGUUUUGCUUGCAGUGGCAUCACUUUGUGUUUUGGAUCUUUAAAGUUUUUCCAGAUGAAACCUAUUUAGUAGAUCUGAAUGUUAGUAGCAACAUUUAAA
rnacentral:lncRNA from 1 species